rnacentral:rRNA from 1 species
GAUGAACGCUGGCGGCGUGCCUAAUACAUGCAAGUCGAGCGAACAGACGAGGAGCUUGCUCCUUUGACGUUAGCGGCGGACGGGUGAGUAACACGUGGGUAACCUACCUAUAAGACGGGGAUAACUUCGGGAAACCGGAGCUAAUACCGGAUAAUAUUUCGAACCGCAUGGUUCGAUAGUGAAAGAUGGCUUUGCUAUAACUUAUAGAUGGACCUGCGCCGUAUUAGCUAGUUGGUAAGGUAACGGCUUACCAAGGCAAGGAUACGUAGCCGACCUGAGAGGGUGAUCGGCCACACUGGGACUGAGACACGGUCCAGACUCCUACGGGAGGCAGCAGUAGGGAAUCUUCCGCAAUGGGCGAAAGUCUGACGGAGCAACGCCGCGUGAGUGAUGAAGGUUUUCGGAUCGUAAAACUCUGUUAUUAGGGAAGAACAAACGUGUAAGUAACUGGGCACGUCUUUAACGUUACUAAUCAAAAAACCACGGGUAAAUUACGUC